GAUGAACGCUGGCGGCGUGCUUAACACAUGCAAGUCGAACGGAAAGGCCCAAGCUUGCUUGGGUACUCGAGUGGCGAACGGGUGAGUAACACGUGGGUGAUCUGCCCCGCACUUCGGGAUAAGCCUGGGAAACUGGGUCUAAUACCGGAUAGGACCACUUCUUGGAGGUUGUGGUGGAAAGUUUUUUCGGUGUGGGAUGAGCUCGCGGCCUAUCAGCUUGUUGGUGGGGUAAUGGCCUACCAAGGCGUCGACGGGUAGCCGGCCUGAGAGGGUGUACGGCCACAUUGGGACUGAGAUACGGCCCAGACUCCUACGGGAGGCAGCAGUGGGGAAUAUUGCACAAUGGGCGCAAGCCCGAUGCAGCGACGCCGCGUGGGGGAUGACGGCCUUCGGGUUGUAAACUCCUUUCGCUAGGGACGAAGCGCAAGUGACGGUACCUAGAGAAGAAGCACCGGCUAACUACGUG
rnacentral:rRNA from 1 species